rnacentral:lncRNA from 1 species
GUGCGGUGCCUUCCCUCAGCCCGGUGCUCUGAGGGUCCCAGCCCAGCCCACUCCAACCCCAUCCCCAUCCAUCCCCAUCCCCAUUGCCAUCCAUCCCCAUUGCCAUCCAUCCCCAUCCCCAUCUAUCCCCAUCCCUGCCCCAUCCCUGCCCUCAUUCCCAUCCCCUCCCAUCUCCAUCCCCGUCCCACCCACAUCCCAUCCCCAUUCCUGCCCCCACACCAUCCCAUACUCAUCCUCCUCCCUGCCCUAACCCCUCAUCCCCAUCAAUCUUCAGCAUCAUCUCUGUCCCCAUCCCUGUUUCUGUCCUCAUCCCAAUCCCUCUUGUUCCUAUUCCCAUCCUCAUCACAUGCCUAUUCCAUCCUAUCCUCAUCCCCAGUCCCAUCUCCAUCCCUGCCCCAUCCCAUCCCAUCCCAUCCCAUCCCAUCCCAUCCCAUCCCUGCCCCAUUCCCAUUGCUAUCCUCAUCCCAUGUCAUCCCCAUCCCAUGUCAUCCCCAUCCCAUUUCUAUCCCCAUCUCAAAUCUCACCCCCAUCCCAUUCUCAUCCCAUUCCCAUACCCAUCCUUAUAUCCCCCCCCAUCCAUUCCCCACCCCAAUCCCAACCCCUCCCCACCCCAUACCUCCAAUGCUCUCAGCCCUCCACCCCCAGCCCAAUGGCAGCACGGCUUCCUCCCAACCCCAUUGCCCUACAGACCCCCCCUAUGAUACCUCCCAGACCCAGAGCAGAGCCCUCAUCCCACUAACUCCAAGCGACCCUAUAGCUCCUGUCAUCCCACUAACUCCAAACAACCCUAUAGCUCCUGUCAUCCCACUAACUCCAAACGACCCUAUAGCUCCUGUCAUCCCACUAACUCCAAACGACCCCACAGCUCCUGUAGGGGAAACACAGCACUCCCAGCACAUCAGUGCGGGGUUUAGGGACCAAAUGUCCUUUGGGUUUCCGGGAUUAUCCACCAAGAUAAGGCUGUAUGGCAGCAGGUUUUAUGGCCCUAAUGGCAGGAUGGAGGCUUUGGAGGCAGCACGCUCCACCUGCACAAUGGGCAAAGUUCUUCUCAUUUCUGCCCUAUUACACACAUAA